rnacentral:lncRNA from 1 species
AAUCUCCUUCCCCAGUUCUCGGAGCAGAAGGAUUAAAAGGCCCAGAGCUCAGGCCUAGGCUUCCCGUGAAGCGGAAGAGACAGGCAGCACCUCUCUUGUCUCACCAGAACCUUGUGUCCAAGGAGGUCCUUCAGGAGACCUGGGAUGAGUGGUGCUUCCCCAAAACAGACUCAUGGACAUUAAACAUCAUCAGAAUGGCACAAGAGGGCAAAGAAGAAAACAGCCUCAUACCAUGCAGAGGCUCCUGACCUGGGGGCUGCCAGU